CUUCCUCCCCGAACUUCCCGUUUUCCGAGGGGCCCGGGGAGGGGUCCGAGGGGCGGCUGGGCAUUUCGAAACGCCCGGCGGCGCCCUCGGGGCCUGGGCCGCCGUCCGCGGCGCGGUCUCCAGAGCUGGCGGCCGAGCCCGGCCUCCCCGACGGUGGCCGCCCCAGGACGCCGCGAGGGAGGGGAGGCCGAGGCCGCGGCCGGACAAAUCUCGGCGAGGGCGGCGGGGGGAAAGCGCCGUGCAGCCCUGCGGUCCGUAACGUGCCAGGACACUGGGGUGAAGCCACCCCAACACCCGUGGGCAGGAAGCGGGCAGGAGAAAGGGAUGCGGGAUGGAACAGUGGCCGCGGGGAGUGACCAGCCUGCAGGCACCGGGCAGUGGAUGGGCUGCUCAGGACACGACACGCAACCCCACGCUGCCUGGGUCGUGGUCCCUUCGCAGAGCUAAGAGGAGAGGGGAAAAAGCACAAGGGCUGGUCAUUGGACAUGGUGGUCAACCUCUCUGACCCUCAGUUUCUUCUUCUGUACAAUGGGGCAAUCAGUAAUCCCUUUGGGAUGAGGAACCUGAGGUCUCAAGGGCACACCAGUGCACGACUGCCUAUGCACACGAUUGAGCUGUGGAACUGGGCGCCCUGAGCCUGGACAUCAGGAGAAAGCAGAGAGCGCUGAGAGCCGGGGCUUGCAGCCACCCUGCUGGCAGAGGCAGCCCUCCAGUGUCUGAGGAACCCAGCCUUCCAGCUGAAGACCCUGUACACCCUCAUUCAAAGGGAUCCUCUUGCAGGCUCCACCCCCACCGUCCCUUGUGACCUUCAGCCCCUGAUAUAGGGUCAGGUUCCCCAUGCCCCAGGGGCCCAGAGGUCAAGGUUGACCCUAGAGGAAACAGCUUAUUCUCCAACAGACAAAUGUUGCUAAUUUCUUUUUCUUUUUCUUUUUUUUAAUUUUGGUAUCAUUAAUCUACAAUUACAUGAACAACAUUAUGGUUACUAGACUCCCCCUAUUAUCAAGUCCCCACCAAAUACCCCAUUACAGUCACUGUCCAUCAGCAUAGUAAGAUGCUAUAGCGUCACUACUUGUCUUCUCUGUGUUACACUGCCUUCCCCGUGCCCCACCCCCUACAUCAUGUGUGCUGAUGGUAAUGCCCCUUAUUCCCCUUCUCCCUCCCCACCCAUCCUCCCCGGUCCCUUUUCCUUUGGUAACUGUUAGUCCAUUCUUGGGUUCUGUGAGUCUGCUGCUGUUUUGCACCUUCAGUUUUUGCUUUGUUCUUAUACUCCACAGAUGAGUGAAAUCAUUUGAUACUUGUCUUUCUCCACCUGGCUUAUUUCACUGAGCAUAAUACCCGUCUAGCUCCAUCCAUGUUGUUUCAAAUGGUAGGAUUUGCUUUCUUCUUAUGGCUGAAUAAUAUUCCAUUGUGUAUAUGUACCACAUCUUUAUUCAUUCAUCUACUGAUGGACACUUAGGUUGCUUCCAUUUCUUGGCUAUUGUAAAUAGUGCUGCGAUAAACAUAGGGGUGCAUAUGUCUUUUUCAAACUGGGCUGCUGCAUUCUUAGGGUAAAUUCCUAGGUCAAAUGGUAUUUCUAUUUUGAACUUUUUGAGGAACCUCCAUUUGCUUUCCACAAUGGUUGAACUAAUUUACAUUCCUGCCAGCAGUGUAGGAGGGUUCCCCUUUCUCCACAACCUCACCAACAUUUGUUGUUUGUCUUGGAUGGUGGCGAUCCUUACUGGUGUGAGGUGAUAUCUCACUGUGGUUUUAAUUUGCAUUUCUCUGAUGACUAGCGAUGUGGAGCAUCUUUUCAUGUGUCUGUUGGCCAUCUGAAUUUCUUCUUUGGAGAACUGUCCAGUUCCUCUGACCAUUUUUUUAUUGGAUUAUUUGCUUUUUGUUGAGGUGCAUGAGCUCUUUAUAUAUUUUGGAUGUCAACCUUUUAUCAGAUCUGUCAUUUAUGAAUAUAUUCUCCCAUACUGUAGGAUACCUUUUUGUUCUAUUGGUGGUGUCUUGUUCCCGAUCUUAGAGGAAAAGCUUUCAGCUUCUCGCUGUUAAGUAUGAUGUUGGCCGUGGGUUUGUUGUAUAUGGCCUUUAUUAUGUUGAGGUACUUGCCCUCUAUACCCAGUUUGUUGAGAGUUUUUAUCAUGAAUGGAUGUUGAAUUUUGUCAAAUGCUUUUUCAGCAUCUAUGGAAAUGAUCAUGUGGUUUUUGUCCUUCUUUUAUUUGAUGUGGUGGAUGAUGUUGAUGGAUUUUCGAAUGUUGUACCAUCCUUGCAUCCCUGGGAUGAAUCCCACUUGAUCAUGGUGUAUGAUCCUCUUGAUGUAAUUUUGAAUUCGGUUUGCUAAUAUUUUGUUGAGUAUUUUUGCUUCUAUGUUCAUCAGGGAUAUUGGUCUGUAAUUUUCUUUUUUGGUGGGGUCUUUGCCUGGUUUUGGCAUUAGAGUGAUGCUGGCUUCAUAGAAUGAGCUUGGAAGUAUUCCCUCCUCCUCUAUUUUUUUGGAAAACUUUAAGGAGAAUGGGUAUUAUGUCUUCUCUGUAUGUCUGAUAAAAUUCCGAGUUAAAUCCAUCUGACCCAGGGGUUUUGUUCUUGGGUAGUUUUUUUAUUACCGCUUCAAUUUCGUUGCUGGUAAUUGGUCUGUUUAGAUUUUCUGUUUCUUCCUUGGUCAGUCUUGGAAGGUUGUAUUUUUCUAGGAAGUUGUCCAUUUCUUCUAGGUUAUCCAGUUUGUUAGCAUAUAGAUUCUCAUAGUAUUCUCUCAUAAUUCUUUGUAUUUCUGUGGGGUCUGUUGUGAUUUUUCCUUUCUCAUUUCAAAUGUUGCUAAUUUCUGUCAGUAACAAUCAAGGAGCUCUGAGUAGAGAUGGGCCCUAGGGGUCUUGGGCUUACGAGGGUGGACUCCCUCAGAGAGUCCAGCUGAAAUGUGUCAGCUGCUGCAGCUGGCAGGGCCUUCAGCAGCUUGCUUGGUCUGUAGUCUGGCUGUAGUCUGAAGCUGCAACCCAUCAGUGAGGCAGACAUGCCACAACUUCCCUGACAUAACUGGAAGGAAGAAUCCAAAAGGAGUCAUUUACCAUGUGGCCAUUUACCCUGAAGACCUUUGAGAAAUAUAUAGGUGAUGUAGUGCCAUGGUCCCUUGACACUGUAGCUACCGUCUAUGGGCUGGCAUGAGGCUGUGAUGCUCCACUGAGUGGGUUCUUGAUCUCAGGGGGCUGCUGGCACCCUGAAUGGCAGAGGCUGAGCAGCAACCUUAAGCACUAGAGACAGGAUGGGCAAAUUACACAGAGAUGGAGCCUAUUCCAGAAAGUUCUGACCUUUGGUAAUUUCUGAUGGAGGCUAAUUGAUUGUGGCGUUCUUAGGAAUGAAGUAGUUGGGCAAUGUACUAAAGCAUCUCUUGAACUGUUUAACUGGAAAACUUGAGGUCUGGUGGACAGAAAUCUGACCAGAGUCCUCACAAGUCUAGAAUCUCUAGGUUUGAGAUAUGUUAUUUAAUAGAUUUUAAUAGAUCAGGAAAUGCAUAGAUUGGUCACUAUAUCACACAUUUGUUCGUUCAACUUGUUGACUGCUGUGUUCGAAUUACAAAGUUUCCUUUGUAAUUCCAUCAUAUUAUGCAUUUAAAAGCAUGAUUCUGAACAUGUGUCUGGAUCCAUCAAUGGAUAAACUGAAUGUAGUAUAUUCAUGCAGUGGGAUAUGGUUCCACCUUUAAAAUGUAGCUACAGCAUGGAUGCCCCUUGAGGACAUUAUGCUCAGCCCACCACUGAAGGACAAUCGCUGUCUGAUUGCACUUAUCGGAGGUAUCCAAAGCAGUCAGACUUAGAAACAAGUGGAAGGGUAGUUACCAGGGGGAGGGGAAAAGAGGGAAUUUAAUGGAUAUAGAGUUUUAGAUUUACAACAUGAAAAAAUCCUGGCCCACUGUUUCACAGUGGUGUGAAUGUACUUAUUACAACACUAUACAGUUAAAAUUGGUAAAGAUGGCACUUUUAUAUUAUGUGUUUUAACACAAUGUUAAAAACACAGAAUGCAAUAAAAACACAACUUAAAGACUUUAAAA